AAGGAAGGUUAAAUCUUGUUCUCCAUGGCUCAUAAGGAAUCCAAGAUUGCUCUUGCUUGCAUGGAUCCCUGGACCUCUCAUCAAAGAUGAAGGUGAAGUUUUUCAAAACUGCAAGAAAGUUCUAUAUUUCAUGGACACCUAUCAGUCAUCACAUUUUCUUUAUCAUUUCACCCCCAGUAUAAAUGUGUGUAUAUAUUUAUUUAUUGACAAAUGCAUACACUUUGGCUUUUUCUUGUUUGGGAUGACUUGAAAUAAAGUCGGUGUUCAUCUGAGUCACCCAGUAUAUUUCACCAGAGAUGUUGUCCUUCUUGAUCCGGUGGAGACACACCUUUCCUGGAAGAGUUUAUUUAUGGAGAGUUAAACUUGGGAAGGAUGAAGGAGGUAGCAUGGCAGAGGGACUAUUCAAUAAACAAAGCUAGAAAAAGUGGGUUUUCCAUAUUAAAAAAAAUGAAAUUAGAUCUCUAUUUCAUAGCACGCAAAUAAGUUAACUCCAGAUGGAUUAAGUAAGGACUUAGUGGUCAAAAGCUGAACUUUAAACUUUUUAUAAGAAAAUAAAGAUUCAUAUCUUUCUGACUUUGAGGAAGGAAUUUCUUAUUUUUUUUAUUUUUAUUUUUUGGCCACACUGCAAAGCAUGCGGAAUCUUAGUUCCCUCACCAAGGAUUGAACCCACGCCCCCUGCACUGGAAGCAUGGAGUCUUAACCAUUGGACCACCAGAUACUGUGUUUUUUACAAAUUGAAGGUUUCUGGCAAUCCUGCAUCGAGCAAGUCCAUUGGCGUCAUUUUCCAACACUUUGCUCACUUCACAUCUCUGUGUCACAUUUUGGUUCAACAAAUUCAAAGGGAGACAGUCCAAGCUGCUUUGGUCCUCCUGGUGUCAGGGACCCAGGUUCUUUCCAUCUUAGCUCUACUCUAUGGGUGGCUUGUGGCUCCUAUUUUUGAGACUCCUCAUGGGCUCAAUAUGACUGCUGGAGCUCCAGUCAUUAUGUCUGCAUUUCAGCCAGUAAGAAAGAGGAAGCGUGAAGAAUGACACAUCCCUUCCUUUUAAGGCCAUUUAAAUCAAGUGACAAGAUAUAAAGCACAUCUCUGUUUUCCGUUUUUUGUUGGUUUUUUUUUUUGCAACUACAUCAGCAAACAAACAAAAAAAAAUGUCUUUUGGUUUUGGAAUAGUGUGUAAAGAGACGGUCUGGAAGAGAUGAACUAUCUUUUAGGGAUGAACAAUCUUGCCUAACUGAGCCUCUCUGGUCUACCAGAAUGCCAGAUUUUAAAUCUCUUAUUGGUUAGUUAUUUUGGAAACAUUCUCAUUUUAGAAGCCUGUUUACUUCAGGAUUCUUAUUUAAAAUGGCUACUUUACACUAGAAGUAUCCCUAAUAAAAUGGCCAAAGUAAACUUUCACUGGAAAGUAUACCUGCA